GAUGAACGCUGGCGGCGUGCUUAACACAUGCAAGUCGAACGAUGAAGCCCAGCUUGCUGGGUGGAUUAGUGGCGAACGGGUGAGUAACACGUGAGUAACCUGCCCUUAACUCUGGGAUAAGCCUGGGAAACUGGGUCUAAUACCGGAUAGGAGCGUCCACCGCAUGGUGGGUGUUGGAAAGAUUUAUCGGUUUUGGAUGGACUCGCGGCCUAUCAGCUUGUUGGUGAGGUAAUGGCUCACCAAGGCGACGACGGGUAGCCGGCCUGAGAGGGUGACCGGCCACACUGGGACUGAGACACGGCCCAGACUCCUACGGGAGGCAGCAGUGGGGAAUAUUGCACAAUGGGCGCAAGCCUGAUGCAGCGACGCCGCGUGAGGGAUGACGGCCUUCGGGUUGUAAACCUCUUUCAGUAGGGAAGAAGCGAAAGUGACGGUACCUGCAGAAGAAGCACCGGCUAACUAC
rnacentral:rRNA from 1 species